UACGAAGGGGGCUAGCGUUGUUCGGAUUUACUGGGCGUAAAGCGCACGUAGGCGGAUUGUUAAGUCAGGGGUGAAAUCCUGGAGCUCAACUCCAGAACUGCCUUUGAUACUGGCAAUCUUGAGUCCGGAAGAGGUGAGUGGAACUCCUAGUGUAGAGGUGGAAUUCGUAGAUAUUAGGAAGAACACCAGUGGCGAAGGCGGCUCACUGGUCCGGUACUGACGCUGAGACGCGAAAGCCAGGGGAGGCGAACGGG
rnacentral:rRNA from 1 species